rnacentral:rRNA from 1 species
UACGUAGGGUGUAAGCGUUAAUCGGAAUUACUGGGCGUAAAGCGUGCGCAGGCGGUGAUGUAAGACAGGUGUGAAAUCCCCGGGCUUAACCUGGGAACUGCAUUUGUGACUGCAUCGCUGGAGUGCGGCAGAGGGGGAUGGAAUUCCGCGUGUAGCAGUGAAAUGCGUAGAUAUGCGGAGGAACACCGAUGGCGAAGGCAAUCCCCUGGGCCUGCACUGACGCUCAUGCACGAAAGCGUGGGGAGCAAACAGG